rnacentral:rRNA from 1 species
AUUGAUAGCUCUUCAUAAUUAAUGGUGGUGGUGCAUGGCCGUUCUUAGUUGGUGGAGUGAUUUGUCUGGUUAAUUCCGAUAACGAACGAGACCUUUACCAGCUAAAUAGUAAUUAUUUUGAUUUAAUCAAAGUAAGAUUUACUUCUUAGAGGGACUAUUGGUUUUUAAACCAAAGGAAGUGAAGGCGAUAACAGGUCUGUGAUGCCCUUAGAUGUUCUGGGCUGCACGCGCGCUACAAUGAUCAACUCAUCAAGUUAUUUCAACUUGUUUUGAAAUUUACUUUUCCUGUAGGAAUGGUUAAUCUUCAACGUUGAUCGUGCUUGGGAUAGAUAAUCGUAAUUAUUUAUCUUGAACAAGGAAUUCCUAGUAAUCGUAAUUCAUCAGAUUGCGAUGAUUACGUCCCUGCCCCUUGUACACACCGCCCCGUCGCUGCUACCGAUUGAAUAAUCCGGUGAACUCGUCGGAUUGUGAUUCAUACUUAAUCUUCGGGUUAAGUUGAAUUAUGAGAAGUUAAGUAAACCAUGUUAUUUAGAGGAAGC